ACGGCGAGUGAAGCGGCACAGCUCAAAUUUGAAAUCUGGCCUCGGCCCGAGUUGUAAUUUGCAGAGGAUGCUUCUGGCAACGUGCCUUCCGAGUCCCCUGGAACGGGGCGCCGGAGAGGGUGAGAGCCCCGUACGGUUGGACGCCGCGCCUGUGUGAAGCUCCUUCGACGAGUCGAGUAGUUUGGGAAUGCUGCUCUAAGCGGGAGGUAAAUUCCUUCUAAAGCUAAAUACCGGCCAGAGACCGAUAGCGCACAAGUAGAGUGAUCGAAAGAUGAAAAGCACUUUGGAAAGAGGGUUAAAAAGUACGUGAAAUUGCUGAAAGGGAAGCGCCUGCGACCAGACUCGCGCCGGGCGAAUCAUCCAGCGUUCUCGCUGGUGCACUUCGCCCGGUCCGGGCCAGCAUCGGUUCUGACGGGGGGACAAAAGCCCGGGAAACGUAGCUCCCUCCGGGGAGUGUUAUAGUCCCUCGCCUAAUACCCCCGCCGGGACCGAGGACCGCGCUUUACGCAAGGAUGCUGGCAUAAUGGUCGUCGGCGACCCGUCUUGAAACACGGACCAAGGAGUCGAACAUUUGUGCGAGUGUUGGGUGGAAAACCCUCACGCGCAAUGAAAGUGAACUUUGGUGGGAGCCUCGGGGCACCACCGACCGAUCCUGAAGUUUCGGAUGGAUUUGAGU
rnacentral:rRNA from 1 species